CAUUUACGGAGAGUUUGAUCCUGGCUCAGGACGAACGCUGGCGGCGUGCUUAACACAUGCAAGUCGAACGAUGAAGCCUCACUUGUGGGGUGGAUUAGUGGCGAACGGGUGAGUAACACGUGAGUAACCUGCCCCUGACUCUGGGAUAAGCGCUGGAAACGGUGUCUAAUACUGGAUAUGACUCAUGGCCGCAUGGUCUGUGGGUGGAAAGGGUUUACUGGUUGGGGAUGGACUCGCGGCCUAUCAGCUUGUUGGUGAGGUAAUGGCUUACCAAGGCGACGACGGGUAGCCGGCCUGAGAGGGUGACCGGCCACACUGGGACUGAGACACGGCCCAGACUCCUACGGGAGGCAGCAGUGGGGAAUAUUGCACAAUGGGCGAAAGCCUGAUGCAGCAACGCCGCGUGGGGGAUGACGGCCUUCGGGUUGUAAACCUCUUUUGGCAGGGAAGAAGCCUUUGGGUGACGGUACCUGCAGAAAAAGCACCGGCUAACUACGUGCCAGCAGCCGCGGUAAUACGUAGGGUGCGAGCGUUGUCCGGAAUUAUUGGGCGUAAAGAGCUCGUAGGCGGUUUGUCGCGUCUGCUGUGAAAUCCCGAGGCUCAACCUCGGGCCUGCAGUGGGUACGGGCAGACUAGAGUGCGGUAGGGGAGAUUGGAAUUCCUGGUGUAGCGGUGGAAUGCGCAGAUAUCAGGAGGAACACCGAUGGCGAAGGCAGAUCUCUGGGCCGCUACUGACGCUGAGGAGCGAAAGGGUGGGGAGCGAACAGGCUUAGAUACCCUGGUAGUCCACCCCGUAAACGUUGGGAACUAGAUGUGGGGGCCUUUCCACGGUCUCCGUGUCGCAGCUAACGCAUUAAGUUCCCCGCCUGGGGAGUACGGCCGCAAGGCUAAAACUCAAAGGAAUUGACGGGGGCCCGCACAAGCGGCGGAGCAUGCGGAUUAAUUCGAUGCAACGCGAAGAACCUUACCAAGGCUUGACAUAUACGAGAACGCCCUGGAAACAGGGUUCUCUUUGGACACUCGUAUACAGGUGGUGCAUGGUUGUCGUCAGCUCGUGUCGUGAGAUGUUGGGUUAAGUCCCGCAACGAGCGCAACCCUCGUUCUCUGUUGCCAGCACGUUAUGGUGGGAACUCAGGGGAUACUGCCGGGGUCAACUCGGAGGAAGGUGGGGAUGACGUCAAAUCAUCAUGCCCCUUAUGUCUUGGGCUUCACGCAUGCUACAAUGGCCAGUACAAUGGGCGGCGAUACCGUGAGGUGGAGCGAAUCCCAAAAAGCUGGUCCCAGUUCGGAUCGUAGUCUGCAACUCGACUACGUGAAGUCGGAGUCGCUAGUAAUCGCAGAUCAGCAACGCUGCGGUGAAUACGUUCCCGGGCCUUGUACACACCGCCCGUCAAGUCAUGAAAGUCGGUAACACCCGAAGCCGGUGGCCUAACCCCUUGGGGAGGGAGCUGUCGAAGGUGGGACCGGUAAUUAGGACUAAGUCGUAACAAGGUAGCCGUACCGGAAGGUGCGGCUGGAUCACCUCCUUUCU
rnacentral:rRNA from 2 species